AGAUAAUCAACAAAGAAUCAGUCAAGAUAAAUCAUAUUGUAUAUACGAUGCACUGCAGAAAAAUCACAGUAUAUAUACGCUGCACUGUUGAACAAUCAUAACUUAAAAGCAGCACUCCAGAUAAAAUCGCAGUGCAUAAACUAUGUAUUGACAAGUGGGUGAAGGCAAGUGCAUAAAAGCAGUACAUAAAAGCAUCACUCCAGAGGAAAGGCAAGCUUGAAGUCCAAAAUAAUCUCUGAAGAGGUUUAUUAUCCUCUAGCAUAUGCUUAGUUUCUGGAGAAGACGUUACACUAGUUCCUGAAGAAGAUGUUGCUUCUUGGUCCUCUUCAAAUAAGGAUAAUCUCAUGAUGUUUGAUUUCUUAUGAUAACACAUUUUUUGUUUGGAUGAAUACAUGUUUAUACAUGUGCAUGGUAAAACUAAAGCUCAUGAGGAUCUGCAUACUACAAGUCUUAUUAAU